GGAACUUUUAGGGGUCGCUUCAUCAGCAGGAGUUACCGAGUUGUAUUUGGCUCUGGCUCACGGACACAUUCUAUCCUUCUCUAUUGUGUUCUGUGUCCUCGGUUUGUUUUGUAUCCUUCUGAUAAGUAUCUCUGCCUACAAGAACCGCCGGCAUUAUCAGCGCCAAGCAAAAGAAAAAGAAGAAGCGUCAGAGAUAUGUUCAUAUUGUUUCUGCGACCCAUAGAAUGUUCCUGCAUCAUGGAAAUAUUUGACAUAUUUACCCUUUCUUCACCGAGGGUAUUGUGAAGUUGUUGAGCAACGAUCCAAGGAGAAAUCCGAUUGCCUCUUGGAGUCAAGAAGGAAUUUUUUUCCCCUGAUGGCAGAAUUCGAUGUAGCUUAAUUAGGGUUUUUUUUUGCCUUCUUUUGGAUCAAGACUAGGAAGGUUAGGUACAAGGGUUGAACUUGAUGGACUAUAAUAAAUGAAAUGAUCAGUCGAAGGAU